CUACGGGUUGCUCCAGUGGGGAAUAUUGGGCAAUGGGCGCAAGCCUGACCCAGCAACGCCGCGUGAGGGAAGAAGGUUUUCGGAUUGUAAACCUCUGUCCUUGGGGACGAAGAAGUGACGGUACCCAAGGAGGAAGCUCCGGCUAACUACGUGCCAGCAGCCGCGGUAAUACGUAGGGAGCAAGCGUUGUCCGGAAUUACUGGGCGUAAAGGGUGCGUAGGCGGCAUAUUAAGUCAGGUGUGAAAUACUCGGGCUCAACCCGGGGGCUGCAUUUGAAACUGAUAUGCUUGAGUGUGAGAGAGGAAAGUGGAAUUCCUAGUGUAGUGGUGGAAUGCGUAGAUAUUAGGAGGAACACCAGUGGCGAAGGCGACUUUCUGGCUCAUAACUGACGCUGAGGCACGAAAGCGUGGGGAGCAAACAGGAUUAGAUACCCGAGUAGUC
rnacentral:rRNA from 1 species